rnacentral:rRNA from 1 species
UACGUAGGGGGCGAGCGUUGUCCGGAAUGACUGGGCGUAAAGGGCGUGUAGGCGGCUCUUUAAGUCUGGAGUGAAAGUCCUGCUUUCAAGGUGGGAAUUGCUUUGGAGACUGGAGAGCUUGAGUGCGGAAGAGGUAAGUGGAAUUCCCAGUGUAGCGGUGAAAUGCGUAGAGAUUGGGAGGAACACCAGUGGCGAAGGCGACUUACUGGGCCGUAACUGACACUGAGGCGCGAAAGCGUGGGGAGCAAACAGG